rnacentral:tRNA from 1 species
CGAAACGUAGUUUAAGCUAAAACCACUUGCUUACACCAAGUAACUACCUGUGAAAAUCAGGCCGCUUCGA